rnacentral:rRNA from 1 species
UAAGGCGUUGAAGCAGUGUAUGUCAGACUUCCAAGAAAAGCUCGCAAUGUCACAAAUAAAAAGUGCCUGUACCAUAACCGACACAGGUGGGUAGGUAGAGUAUACUAAGGGGCGCGAGAUAACUCUCUCUAAGGAACUCGGCAAAAUGACUCCGUAACUUCGGGAGAAGGAGUGCCUUAUUUAUAAGGUUGCAAUAACAAGAUCCAAGCAACUGUUUAUCAAAAACACAGGUCUCCGCUAAGUCGUAAGACGAUGUAUGGGGGCUGACGCCUGCCCAGUGCCAGAAGGUUAAAGAAGUUGGUUAGUGUAUGCGAAGCUGAUGACUGAAGCCCUGGUGAACGGCGGCCGUAACAAUAACGGUCCUAAGGUAGCGAAAUUCCUUGUCGGGUAAGUUCCGACCCGCACGAAAGGCGUAAUGAUUUGGAUACUGUCUCGGAGAGAGGCUCGGUGAAAUAGACUUGUCUGUGAAGAUGCGGACUACCUGCACCAGGACAGAAAGACCCUAUGAAGCUUUACUGUAACUUGAAAUUGGAAUUGGACUUUGCUUGCGCAGUAUAGGUGGGAAGCGUUGAAAAUAUUCUUGCGGGAGUAUUGGAGCUAUCAGUGAGAUACCACUCUUGUAAUGUUAGAUUUCUAACUUUGAACCAUAAUCUGGUCAAAGAACAGUUUCAGGUGGGCAGUUUGACUGGGGCGGUCGCCUCCCAAAUGGUAACGGAGGCGUACAAAGGUUUCCUCUGAACGGAUAGAAAUCGUAUCUAGAGUGUAAAGGCAUAAGGAAGCUUGACUGUGAGACCUACAAGUCGAGCAGGGACGAAAGUCGGUCUUAGUGAUCUGACGGUACUGAGUGGAAAGGCCGUCACUCAACGGAUAAAAGUUACUCUAAGGAUAACAGGCUGAUCUCCCCCAAGAGUUCACAUCGACGGGGAGGUUUGGCACCUCGAUGUCGGCUCAUCGCAUCCUGGGGCGGUAGUACGUCCCAAGGGUUGGGCUGUUCGCCCAUGAAAGCGGUACGCGAGCUGGGUUCAGAACGUCGUGAGACAGUUCGGUCCAUAUCCGGUGUAGGCGCUAGAAUAUUGAGAGGAGCCUUCUUUAGUACGAGAGGACCGAGAAGGACACACCGCUGGUGUACCAGUUAUCGUGCCAACGAUAAACGCUGGGUAGCUAUGUGUGGAGUGGAUAACCGCUGAAAGCAUCUAAGUGGGAAGCCCACCUCGAGAUGAGUAUUCUCAC